UGGGGUAUAGCUCAGUGGUAGAGUACAUGCUUAGCAUGUGUGAGGCCCUGGGUUCGAUCUGCAGCACCCAAA
rnacentral:tRNA from 1 species